UUAAAUUGAAGAGUUUGAUCAUGGCUCAGAUUGAACGCUGGCGGCAGGCCUAACACAUGCAAGUCGAACGGUAACAGGAAGCAGCUUGCUGUUUCGCUGACGAGUGGCGGACGGGUGAGUAAUGUCUGGGAAACUGCCUGAUGGAGGGGGAUAACUACUGG
rnacentral:rRNA from 1 species